AAAAUUUUUCGAAAGAAAAAAAUCUGUUCUUAUCAGUUUAAUAUCUGAUACGUCCCCUACCCGGGGACUACAUAUUAAAUUGAUUUUUGGAUCACGGAGCUGGAGCCGGGGCUUGCUCUGUCCACUCCACGCAUCGGCCUGGUAUUGCAGUGUUUCCAGGAACGGUGUGCUUCCC
ensembl:snRNA U2 U2 spliceosomal RNA